CGAGCCGUGGUAACGCAUGGGCAUUUCCGCUAGUAAAUUAAAAAAUAUUAAUCAAUGAGACAUAUGAAUAAACUAAAUAAGUAAAUACAAUUUUUUUAAAGGAAAACAACAAUUAAAAAUAAAGAAAUACGGAAAAUAAAGACAAACGAAAAAGAAUGGACAAUACCACCCUAGCAGGCCGGCCCACAAUAGUCGGGGG
rnacentral:lncRNA from 1 species